rnacentral:tRNA from 1 species
GCGUGUGUAACUCAGUAGGCUAGAGUAGCGGGCUUUUAACCCGAAGGUCGAGGGUUCGAACCCCUCCACACGUA